AUCUCAGCCGCCACCUCUGUCUUGCUGCUCCCUGGCGGGGGGUCAGGACGAGUCCAGAGUAUCUGGGGUUUGGCGUUGUUGUCAGCCUCGGGGAGAGAGAUUGGACAAAUAUUCUCAGAGAGGAGGAGGACGACGCCAAGGACUUUCUGCUUUAACUGCUUUUGAGGGUUUCUCCGCAAGUUGGAAGACAGACCUUUUUCGUUUUGCGUUGCGUGUGUUGUGCUUAUUGCUAGUGCACUGACUGCUGCCCCAGGGUGACUGCGAGGUGUCCUUUCCUGUGAACUAGCAAUGGCUAGUGAAGAUAACCAUGCCCCUUCCCCGCCACCAACAGGUGAUGACGGGGGAGGUGGAGGAAAAGGCGAAGAAACCCCUAGUGAAGGGGGUGCGUUGUCCCUGAAACCAGGGAUCCCCAUCAGAGGCAUCAGAAUGAAAUUUGCGGUGCUGACGGGGUUGGUAGAAGUUGGAGAAGUAUCCAAUAGGGAUAUUGUAGAAACUGUCUUUAAUCUGCUGGUAGGAGGACAGUUUGAUUUGGAAAUGAAUUUCAUUAUCCAAGAAGGUGAGAGUAUCAUUUGCAUGGUGGACUUACUGGAAAAAUGUGACAUCACUUGCCAAGCAGAAGUCUGGAGCAUGUUUACAGCCAUUCUGAAAAAAAGCAUACGAAAUCUUCAAGUCUGUACUGAAGUAGGCCUUGUUGAAAAAGUGCUUUGGAAAAUUGAAAAAGUUGACAAUAUGAUAGCAGAUCUUUUAGUUGACAUGUUGGGAGUGCUGGCUAGUUACAAUUUGACAGUUCGAGAACUAAAGCUAUUCUUCAGUAAACUUCAAGGAGAUAAAGGACAAUGGCCUCCACAUGCUGGGAAGUUACUAUCUGUAUUAAAGCACAUGCCUCAGAAGUACGGUCCUGAUGCCUUUUUCAACUUCCCAGGAAAGAGUGCCGCAGCUAUUGCAUUACCUCCUAUAGCCAAAUGGCCAUACCAGAAUGGUUUUACAUUUCAUACUUGGCUUAGAAUGGAUCCUGUAAAUAAUAUCAAUGUGGAUAAGGAUAAACCGUAUUUAUAUUGUUUCAGAACCAGUAAAGGUCUUGGUUAUUCUGCUCACUUUGUUGGAGGCUGUUUGAUUAUAACGUCAAUAAAAUCAAAGGGAAAAGGCUUUCAACACUGUGUGAAAUUUGAUUUCAAGCCCCAAAAGUGGUAUAUGGUAACAAUAGUGCACAUUUAUAACCGAUGGAAGAAUAGUGAGCUUCGAUGCUAUGUGAAUGGCGAGCUAGCCUCCUAUGGAGAGAUAACUUGGUUUGUUAACACCAGUGAUACAUUUGACAAAUGCUUCCUGGGUUCCUCAGAAACGGCAGAUGCUAAUCGAGUGUUUUGUGGUCAGAUGACUGCAGUUUACCUUUUUAGUGACGCUCUUAAUGCAGCUCAGAUAUUUGCUAUUUAUCAAUUGGGCCUGGGAUACAAGGGAACGUUUAAAUUCAAAGCAGAAAGCGACCUUUUCCUUGCUGAGCACCACAAACUUUUAUUGUAUGAUGGCAAACUCUCUAGUGCCAUUGCGUUCACAUACAAUCCAAGGGCUACAGAUGCCCAGCUCUGUCUUGAAUCGUCCCCUAAGGAUAACCCUUCAGUUUUUGUUCAUUCACCACAUGCCCUCAUGCUUCAGGAUGUGAAGGCAGUUUUAACACAUUCCAUCCAAAGUGCUAUGCAUUCAAUUGGAGGAGUACAAGUGCUUUUUCCACUUUUUGCACAGUUGGAUUACAGGCAAUAUUUGUCUGAUGAUGUUGACUUAACUGUGUGUUCAACCUUGCUGGCUUUUAUUAUGGAGUUGUUGAAGAACUCAAUUGCUAUGCAAGAGCAGAUGCUUGCCUCUAAGGGCUUCUUGGUAAUAGGGUAUAGUCUUGAAAAGUCUUCCAAAUCCCAUGUCAGCAGAGCAGUUCUUGAACUUUGCCUUGCAUUUUCCAAGUAUCUUAGUAAUCUGCAGAAUGGGAUGCCCUUACUUAAGCAAUUGUGUGAUCAUAUUCUUCUGAACCCAGCAAUAUGGAUUCAUACACCAGCCAAGGUUCAGUUAACACUCUACACCUACCUGUCCACGGAAUUCAUUGGUACAGUCAACAUAUACAAUGCAAUUCGGAGAGUUGGAACAGUGCUUCUCAUCACACACACACUGAAGUACUACUACUGGGCAGUGAAUCCUCAGGAUAGAAGUGGUAUCACUCCAAAAGGAUUAGAUGGACCAAGACCUAAUGAAAAAGAAAUACUUUCUUUACGAGCUUUCUUGUUGAUGUUCAUUAAACAGUUAGUGACAAAGGAUUCUGGAGUGAAAGAAGAUGAACUACAGGCCAUUCUUAAUUAUUUACUCACUAUGCAUGAGGAUGACAAUCUAAUGGAUGUCCUACAGUUGCUUGUUGCAUUGAUGUCUGAACAUCCUAAUUCUAUGAUUCCUGCUUUUGACCAAAGGAAUGGGUUACGGGUCCUUUAUAAACUUCUGGCAUCCAAAAGCGAAGGAAUCAGAGUACAAGCUCUCAAGGCAAUGGGCUAUUUUUUAAAACACCUGGCACCAAAGAGAAAAGCUGAAGUCAUGCUUGGGCAUGGAUUAUUUUCAUUGCUAGCUGAAAGACUCAUGCUUCAGACAAAUUUAAUAACAAUGACCACAUAUAAUGUCUUGUUUGAGAUCCUUAUAGAACAGAUUUGUACUCAGGUGAUACAUAAACAACACCCAGAUCCAGAUUCUUCAGUAAAGAUACAGAAUCCUCAGAUACUAAAAGUAAUUGCGACCCUGGUUCGAAAUUCUCCCCAGUGUCCAGAGAGCAUGGAGGUUCGCAGAGCCUUUCUUUCUGACAUGAUUAAACUUUUUAAUAACAGUAGAGAAAACAGGAGGAGCUUGCUACAGUGCUCUGUAUGGCAAGAAUGGAUGCUUUCUCUCUGCUAUUUUAAUCCUAAGAACUCAGAUGAACAGAAGAUAACAGAAAUGGUAUAUGCCAUAUUCAGAAUCCUACUUUACCAUGCAGUCAAAUAUGAGUGGGGUGGCUGGCGUGUAUGGGUUGACACGUUAUCAAUCACACAUUCAAAGGUCACUUUUGAAAUGCACAAAGAAAACCUUGCCAAUAUAUUUAGGGAACACCAAGGAAAAGCUGGUGAAGAGAGAGGGCCAUGCUCUUCAAGUCCAGUCCAAGCAGCCCCCGACACUAGCCUCAAUGUUAAUACUUCAGAAGGAUCCCAGCAACCAGAUAGAAAGGAUUCUCUUGCCUCAUUGAAUAUCAUCAGAAAUGAUGAUGAAAAAUUAAGUAUUGAGGAAGCAUAUUCAGUAGACUGUCCAUCCAACAUUGAACCACAAACUUGUAACACAUCUAAUGACGACAGAAAAACUGGGCAGGAAAAUCAGGAUGUACUGGAUGAAGUCACCUUAGAAGAAACACUGACAAAUGAGACAAUAAAGGCAGAUGAUUUAGAAGUAUCUUCUGAGUUAAUAGAAGCUGUGACUGUUUCCUCUGAUUCUUUAAAAACACCUGGCAAAGGUAUAAUGACCAUUAGUGAAGUAACUGCCUCCUUAAGUUCUCCUUCAGAAGAGGAUGCUUCAGAGGUGCCAGAAUUACUGGAUAAACCUAUAGUAGAGGAAGAAGAAGAUGAUGAUUAUGUGGAAUUGAAGGUGGAAAGUAGUCCUCUUGAGGACUCCAGUCUACCUACUGAGCUCCAAAAUAAUAGCUUGUCUGUAGCUGCGUCAGAAGCCAGCAAGAGACUGGAAUUGCCCAGUAAUGACUCCAAAUUAGUAAUUCCAGAAGAAGAACCUGUUAAUGAAAAGCAAACUGAUACCAAAACUCAAGAUUUUAAAGCUUCUGACAUCUUGACUGCGACAGCAUCAGGAUCAUCAACUCCCUUACCAGAAAUACCUUCCCAAACAACUGUACAAUCAGACAUUGGUCAGAUGCUGAAGGAAGAAAAGAAAACAACUGACCUUGCUAGAGAAACCAAAUUAAUUAAUGGUUGUCAUGAUAAUAGUUUAGAGUCUUCUGCUACUUCUGAGCAGAGGAUCGCCAAAUUGGAUGUUUCCAGCAUUGCUACAGAUACUGAGAAACUGGAAUUGAAGUCCAGUACAAACACGGAAGCAUCUCAGUCUCAUCGACCUGCACUUGAGAUGUCAAGACAACAGGAGCAGCCAGGGCAAGGUGUAGCCUCAGAGGCAGCUAAUGGGCAAAGGAGGGAUUCCAGAUCGACCAUGUUUCGGAUUCCUGAGUUCAAGUGGUCUCAGAUGCAUCAACGUUUGCUCACUGAUCUAUUAUUUUCAAUAGAAACAGAUAUACAAAUGUGGAGAAGCCAUUCAACAAAGACAGUUAUGGACUUCGUGAAUAGCAGUGAUAAUGUCAUCUUUGUACACAACACAAUUCAUCUCAUCUCUCAAGUGAUGGACAAUAUGGUCAUGGCUUGUGGGGGUAUACUGCCAUUGCUUUCAGCUGCUACAUCGGCUACACAUGAGCUGGAGAACAUUGAGCCUACUCAAGGCCUUUCGAUAGAAGCCUCGGUAGCAUUUUUGCAGAGGUUAAUCAGUCUUGUGGAUGUGCUCAUCUUUGCAAGUUCUCUUGGCUUUACUGAAAUUGAAGCUGAAAAAAAUAUGUCAUCUGGAGGAAUUUUGCGGCAGUGUCUGCGAUUAGUUUGUGCAGUGGCAGUAAGGAAUUGCUUAGAAUGUCAACAACAUUCACAACUGAAAACUAGAGGAGAUACAGCAAAAGGCCAGAGGAUAACAUAUAGUCUGAUUCCCAUGGGGAAAUCUGCAGCAAAGAGUCCUGUGGACAUCAUAACUGGUGGUAUAUCUCCAGUAAGAGAUCUUGACAGACUCCUACAAGACAUGGAUAUUAAUCGGCUUAGAGCAGUUGUCUUCAGAGACAUAGAGGAUAGCAAACAAGCUCAAUUCUUAGCAUUGGCGGUUGUGUACUUUAUCUCUGUUCUUAUGGUUUCGAAGUAUAGAGACAUUCUGGAACCCCAAAAUGAAAGACGUGGCCAGUCAUUUAAAGAAACUGGCAGUGAAAGUGGGACUAUAUCACUCCCUGAAAAUACACCAGCAACAUUCAGCCCUGUAACUCUGGCAUCAGUAGAAGAAUCAGAAAGCAUAGCAUCUACACGAAGGAGAGACUCAGGCAUUGGGGAAGAAACAGCUACUGGAGUAGGAAGCAAUGCGGAUGUAUCUCUUCAUACAGCACCUCCAAGUGUCAGUGCAGGGCCUGAUGCAGUCAGUGAGGUGCUAUGCACUCUUUCUUUAGAAGUCAAUAAAUCUCAGGAAACCAAAAAUGAUGGAGAGAAUGAGUUGAAUAACAGGGCUGCAUCAUCAGUUCCAGUUUCAAAAAAUGUCAAUGUGAAGGACAUUCUCCGAAGCUUAGUUAACAUACCAGCAGAUGGAGUCACAGUGGAUCCUGCCCUUCUGCCACCAGCCUGUCUUGGAGCUCUUGGUGAUCUGUCUGUUGAACAACCCGUGCAGUUCAGAUCUUUUGACAGAAGUGUCAUCAUUGCGACAAAAAAAUCGGCAGUGUUACCUUCCACACCAAGUACAAGUAUACCUACCAAUGCUGUUAGUGUGGUUUCUUCAGUAGAUUCAGCCCAAGCCUCAGAUGUUGGAGGAGAGUCACCUGGUAGUAAAUCAUCUCAAGCAAAAUUACCUUCGGUUCCAACAGUUGGUUCAGUUCCACAAGACCCAGUUUCAAAUAUGAGUAUUACAGAGAGGCUUGAACAUGCUUUGGAAAAGGCUGCACCUCUUCUGCGAGAGAUUUUUGUGGAUUUUGCACCUUUUCUUUCACGUACGCUUUUGGGUAGCCAUGGACAAGAGUUGCUUAUAGAAGGAACAAGUCUGGUUUGCAUGAAGUCUAGUAGUUCAGUUGUGGAAUUGGUUAUGCUACUGUGUUCACAGGAGUGGCAGAAUUCUAUUCAGAAGAAUGCAGGCCUUGCUUUUAUUGAACUUGUCAAUGAAGGAAGGUUGCUUAGCCAAACAAUGAAGGAUCAUCUUGUAAGAGUAGCAAAUGAAGCUGAAUUUAUCCUGAGCAGACAGAGAGCAGAGGAUAUUCACAGACAUGCAGAAUUUGAGUCACUGUGUGCCCAGUAUUCUGCAGACAAACGAGAAGAUGAAAAGAUGUGUGAUCAUUUGAUAAGAGCAGCUAAAUAUCGAGACCAUGUGACAGCAACUCAACUAAUCCAGAAAAUUAUCAACAUUCUCACAGACAAGCAUGGAGCCUGGGGAAAUUCCACAGUAAGUCGUCCUCGUGAGUUCUGGCGCCUUGACUACUGGGAAGAUGACUUGCGGCGCCGGCGACGAUUUGUGCGUAACCCUCUAGGAUCGACACAUCCUGAAGCGACACUAAAAACAGCCGUGGAACAUGCUGCGGAUGAAGAUAUCCUUGCUAAAGGAAAACAGUCCAUCAAGAGUCAGGCUUUAGGAAAUCAGAACUCAGAAACCGAGAUCCUCCUGGAAGGCGACGACGAUACUCUGUCAUCCGUGGAUGAGAAAGAUUUAGAGAAUCUUACUGGUCCCGUUAGCUUGAGCACACCGGCUCAGCUUGUGGCUCCCUCUGUUGUAGUAAAGGGCGCUCUUUCUGUCACCUCCUCUGAACUCUAUUUUGAAGUAGAUGAAGAGGAUCCUAAUUUCAAGAAAAUCGACCCUAAGAUCCUGGCAUACACAGAAGGGUUGCAUGGAAAAUGGCUAUUCACAGAGAUAAGAUCAAUCUUUUCUCGUCGUUAUCUUUUGCAAAAUACAGCCCUGGAGAUCUUUAUGGCGAACAGAGUUGCUGUAAUGUUCAACUUCCCAGACCCUGCAACAGUAAAGAAAGUGGUAAAUUAUCUUCCUCGUGUUGGUAUUGGAACCAGUUUUGGAUUGCCUCAAACCAGGCGUAUCUCAUUAGCUAGUCCACGUCAACUUUUUAAAGCUUCUAAUAUGACCCAGCGAUGGCAACACAGGGAGAUUUCAAAUUUUGAGUACUUGAUGUUUCUCAACACAAUAGCAGGACGGAGUUACAAUGACUUAAAUCAGUAUCCAGUCUUUCCCUGGGUGAUUACUAAUUAUGAAUCAGAAGAACUAGAUCUUACCUUGCCAAGCAAUUUCAGAGAUUUGUCCAAGCCAAUUGGAGCUUUGAAUCCAAAAAGAGCAGCAUUCUUUGCAGAGCGUUAUGAAUCAUGGGAAGAUGAUCAAGUUCCAAAGUUCCACUAUGGUACUCAUUACUCAACUGCAAGCUUUGUUCUUGCAUGGCUGUUAAGAAUAGAACCCUUUACAACUUAUUUCCUAAAUUUACAAGGAGGGAAGUUUGAUCAUGCAGAUAGAACUUUUUCAUCAGUUUCCAGAGCUUGGAGAAAUAGUCAGCGUGACACAUCUGAUAUCAAGGAAUUGAUCCCUGAAUUUUAUUAUCUCCCUGAAAUGUUUGUCAACUUCAAUAAUUAUAAUCUUGGCGUGAUGGAUGAUGGGACAGUAGUGUCUGAUGUUGAACUUCCUCCUUGGGCUAAAACCUCAGAAGAAUUUGUUCGCAUAAACAGAUUGGCCCUAGAGAGUGAAUUUGUUUCCUGCCAACUUCACCAAUGGAUUGAUCUCAUUUUUGGCUAUAAACAGCAAGGACCAGAAGCUGUCCGGUCCCUCAAUGUGUUCUAUUAUUUGACCUAUGAAGGAGCUGUCAAUUUGAAUUCAAUAACUGAUCCUGUAUUGAGAGAGGCUGUUGAAGCUCAAAUCCGAAGUUUUGGACAGACACCUUCUCAACUCCUUAUAGAGCCCCAUCCUCCCCGAGGUUCGGCCAUGCAAGUGAGUCCAUUGAUGUUCACAGACCAAGCUCAGCAGGACGUUAUCAUGGUCCUAAAGUUCCCCUCCAACUCCCCUGUCACUCACGUGGCAGCCAACACCCAGCCUGGUUUGGCAACUCCAGCUGUGAUCACAGUCACUGCUAAUAGGCUAUUUGCUGUGAACAAAUGGCACAACCUACCUGCUCAUCAAGGUGCUGUACAAGACCAGCCAUACCAGCUGCCAGUGGAAAUCGAUCCUCUCAUAGCCAGCAAUAUGGGAAUGCACAGGAGGCAAAUCACUGACCUUUUGGACCAGAGCAUUCAAGUCCAUUCCCAGUGCUUUGUCAUCACUUCGGACAAUCGCUAUAUUCUUGUCUGUGGCUUCUGGGAUAAGAGUUUCCGCGUCUAUUCCACAGAUACAGGAAAACUAAUCCAAGUGGUGUUUGGCCAUUGGGAUGUUGUCACUUGCCUCACCCGUUCUGAGUCAUAUAUUGGGGGAAAUUGCUACAUUCUCUCAGGAUCACGUGAUGCAACCCUUCUGCUGUGGUACUGGAAUGGAAAAAGCAGUGGGAUUGGAGAUAACCCAGGUGAGACCACUACUCCUCGGGCCAUCCUGACAGGCCACGACUGUGAGAUCACCUGUGCUGUGGUCUGCGCUGAGCUGGGCCUGGUGUUAAGUGGUUCUAAAGAAGGACCGUGUCUCAUACAUUCCAUGAAUGGAGACCUGUUGAGAACCCUGGAGGGGCCUGAAAAUUGCCUGAAACCAAAACUCAUUCAGGCUUCAAGAGAAGGUCACUGUGUCAUAUUCUAUGAACACGGCCUCUUCUGUACAUUCAGUGUGAAUGGAAAACUCCAGGCCACUAUGCAAACAGAUGAUAACAUAAAGGUGAGCCAUGCAGCUGAGCCGGGACGGGCAGUACCUGCUCACAGGAGGAGACAAUGGUGUGGUCAUGGUGUGGCAGGUGUCUGACCUCAAGCAGCUCUUCACCUAUCCAGGCUGUGAUGCCGGGAUCCGGGCCAUGGCUCUGUCUUAUGACCAGAGGUGCAUCAUUUCCGGCAUGGCCUCGGGAAGCAUUGUCCUCUUCUACAAUGACUUUAACCGGUGGCAUCACGAAUACCAAACCCGCUACUGAUGAGUCAGCCACGUUGGCCCUGCCCCACCACUGGGCAGGGGAAGUACCCCAGCAUCGUUCUCUUAGAAAUAGCUAUUACAACUGAAUGUAACUUAAAUUUGCUCUAAGAAGCAAAAUAUUUUUUAAAGUUAAUUGCUAUUUUUGUAGCCUUUGCUUGACUUUUUUGGGGGGAAUAGCAAAGCAGAAAACUGGCUGCUGGGUUCUGUAGUUUUAAAAAAAAAUCUAUAUUUUUAGUCAUAAUGAGAAGUCUAUUUUCACCAAUUAUGGAAACUUACAAUGAGGCGAGAAAGCCCACUAAUUCUAGCUAUAUUAUGAAGAAUCAUUUCCCAUUUAUCUGUAAUCUUGAGAAAUACAUGAUUUUUACCAUAGGGAAAUGGGUUAUGAUACUGGGAUGGGGGCUUUUAUGCUGUACUUUGGGUCCUGUAUUUUUUCCAAAAUUAUUGUACUUCUUCAGCACUGAAACUCCUGGGAUUUAAAUAGUAAUUAAUGUUAAAAUUAUGGUAAAUGUAAUUUAAAACAUCUCAGUGAAUUAUUUCUAUCACUAUUACUGUUUAAGCAUGUUUUAGACUUAGGAAGUUAUGGUUUGAGGGAGGUAUUUUAUCGUGUGGUUAACCUUAAAGAAUCUAAUGUUAUAGCAAGUGUGAAAUAUCUACUCUUUUCCUGAUCUGUCGUCUUCAUAGCACACCAAAAUGAAAUGACGGAAAUGUUCUUGGACUCACUUUCAAAGUUAAUGCAAGUACCAAAGCUCACCCCUGAGGGCUGGCUGUGGCUGUGAGCUGAGGCAGAGCCGUCUGGACCAUGCACACCCCCACCCUGGGUUUGCGAACAGACGCCACCAGGUGCUGUAUUAAGCAAUGCCCAUUUCACUUUCUAUUUGCUAUUAAACUAUCUACACCAUCCUUUUGAUUAGCAAUUUGUACUAAGAAACAAUGUUAUUUUGGUGUUGUAAACUUCUACUUUUGUAGUAGAUUGCUGUGUGGAAUUCUGUGAAAAAUAUUUGAGAAAAGGUCUGUACUGCAUAAAUAAAUUCUUUGUAUGUUGUGAA